UGGGGUGUGGCUCAGUGGUAGAGCAUUCACCUAGCACUCGUGAUGCCUUGGGUUCAAUCCUCAGCACCACAU
rnacentral:tRNA from 1 species